ensembl:lncRNA
CUCAUGUGGGGUGAUGGAUCAGGGCUUCAACAUUAGACCGAAAAGAACCCCAAUCCCCUCUCAGGAAGAAAUCAAUGAAUGCACUCCAACACCACUCCACAUCCCCCAUUCUGACCCCAAACCUCUCCCCACGAGCCCCCAAACCCCCCACGUACCCAUGCCACGUCAUGUCUCUGCACCCACAAGUCCCACCUGUACCUCACACCUCGCCUUCUCCUGUGAAGCACUCUGCUCCUGUAGGCUGUGGUCCACAUCCCCUUAUCCUCCCCAAAUCCACCCAUGUUCUGAUCCGUGUUCCCCAGUAUCCCCAGUACCACCCACUUCACUUUCACCCACAUCUGUGCCCUACACCUUCUCCAGCUCCUCAUUCCUCACCUGCAGAAGCCAUCCAUGCCACAGCACCGGGAGGUUGUACGGGAUCUGGAGGCAGGUCAGGGGGAGGAGAGGCCAAAGAUGGGCUAUGGGGGUCCUGGCAUGGUGAUGGGGACCUGUCAGGGAACAUGGGGUUCCCUGGGGUUCAGGGAGUUCCCAGGGGGGAUCUUGGAGGUGUAAAGGAGGUCUGAGGGAGGAAAUAGGAGGACUCCGUGGAAGCCCAGUGGGGACAUGGGGUGAUGCUGGGGAUUGUGGGGCACCAUGUGGGUAUGGGCCAGCUACGGGGGAGGUGUACUGCGUCUGAGGGGGUCCUUGAGGGGCUCCAGGGCUCUGUGGGGGGCUACAGGGUGUCUCUAGGGGUCUUGCUGGGAAACACUGGGAGGGAUAUUGGGGCUCUGAGGGAAUGAUGGGUGGGCUGUCAUGAGAAAGGAAAGGGCAGCCUUGGGGAAAGCAAGGGGCAGCCAGGGGGAUGGAAGGGAAUCCUACAGGAAUGCAAGGGGAAUCCAGGCUGAGGCAAGGGGACAGCUGGGGGAACAACAGGGGAACGUCCCAGCAACGGACUUCUUCUUUCACAUCCACAUCUUCUGCUUCCCAACUGAGCUGCAAAGCUGCCAGAGGAGCUGCAGUACCGCUGCCCAACUCCUGCCUGUGUCAGAAAGAGCUGUGCGUGAGCAGAGUGCAAUUGCCAUUCUAAAGCCAACUCCAUCACUGCAGUCACAAAAGCACAACCUUCAG